rnacentral:misc_RNA from 1 species
GAUGAAGAACGUAGCGAAAUGCGAUAAGUAAUGUGAAUUGCAGAAUUCAGUGAAUCAUCGAAUCUUUGAACGCACAUUGCGCCCGCCAGUAUUCUGGCGGGCAUGCCUGUCUGAGCGUCAUUUCAACCCUCAUGCCCCUAGGGCGUGGUGUUGGGGAUCGGCCAAAGCCCGCGAGGGACGGCCGGCCCUUAAAUCUAGUGGCGGACCCGUCGUGGCCUCCUCUGCGAAGUAGUGAUAUUCCGCAUCGGAGAGCGAUGAGCCCCUGCCGUUAAACCCCCAACUUUCCAAGGUUGACCUCAGAUCAGGUAGGAAUACCCGCUGAACUUAAGCAUAUCAAUAAGCGGAGGA